UUGGGUUAAGUCCCGCAACGAGCGCAACCCUUAUCCCCAGUUGCCAUCAGGUAAAGCUGGGAACUCUGGGGAGACUGCCGGUGAUAAACCGGAGGAAGGCGGGGAUGACGUCAAGUCCUCAUGGCCCUUACAUCCCGGGCUACACACGUGCUACAAUGGCAGGUACAGAGGGCUGCAAAGCCGCGAGGUAGAGCGAAUCCCAGAAAACCUGUCUCAGUCCGGAUUGAAGUCUGCAACUCGACUUCAUGAAGGCGGAAUCGCUAGUAACCGCGAAUCAGCAGGUCCGCGGUCGAAUACGUUCCCGGGCCUU
rnacentral:rRNA from 1 species